AGUGAACGCUGGCGGUAGGCCUAACACAUGCAAGUCGAACGGCAGCACAGUAAGAGCUUGCUCUUACGGGUGGCGAGUGGCGGACGGGUGAGGAAUACAUCGGAAUCUACUUUUUCGUGGGGGAUAACGUAGGGAAACUUACGCUAAUACCGCAUACGACCUACGGGCGAAAGCAGGGGAUCUUCGGACCUUGCGCAAUUGAAUGAGCCGAUGUCGGAUUAGCUAGUUGGCGGGGUAAAGGCCCACCAAGGCGACGAUCCGUAGCUGGUCUGAGAGGAUGAUCAGCCACACUGGAACUGAGACACGGUCCAGACUCCUACGGGAGGCAGCAGUGGGGAAUAUUGGACAAUGGGCGCAAGCCUGAUCCAGCCAUACCGCGUGGGUGAAGAAGGCCUUCGGGUUGUAAAGCCCUUUUGUUGGGAAAGAAAAGCAGCAGGUUAAUACCCCGCUGUUCUGACGGUACCCAAAGAAUAAGCACCGGCUAACUUCGUG
rnacentral:rRNA from 1 species